CUCCUCAGCGCGUGCUCUGCCCUCGGCAUCGUGUCGGAUCACGGAGCAGCUUGACGGAAGGCCUGAAGGACCUCCAUGGAAACCCGCUGGAGCGGAAACGAGCUAACGGCAGCGCGCAGGAGGCGAGCAGCUAACGGCUCACGCUGCAAAGUCAAGGGAAACCGACCUGAGACCAGCCGUCUGUUAUCUCAUUACUUCCAAAGUCAAGUAAAACCGACCUGAGACCAGCCUUCUGUUAUCGAACUACGGAGGAUGCAGCAUGCGUUUCAUCCACUGGUGGCAGCUCUGAAUGCACAGACGCUGAUGACCCUGACCAGAAGGAAGAGAGUUCCAGACAGGCGAAAACGUGGCGAGGCGCCGCGUCCCCUGAACCCCGCGCUCCUUCACCAGAGUCCGUGAGCUGCUGGCCAGAGGGCAGUCUCCAGGGUUCUAGUCCGGCCCGUCGGCGUCGAUCCACAGAGAAGCGGCCGCCACAUUCACGCCACUGAACCAGACCGCCGCCUUAUAUUCCAGGUCACUAAUAAUAAUAAUACACAACACAUGAUCCUAAUUAAACCCGAGCUCACGCUUCAGGCUACGGAUAAUAAUACAGACACUUGCAGGUACCGUCCCUGCGGCGCACCGGGGACGUGGAGAGUCGGCCGAGCGGCCAGCCGGACGCGGAGGAGGAAGCCGUCACGCCGCCCGGUGCCGGCGUGCCGCCUCCUCGCCCGCGGGCCCCGCCAGCCUUCCAGAGACCUCGCCGUCGAGGCCCCCGAGUUCGUCGCCCGCCGCGCCGUCGACGGAGCGUUCAGCUUUUGUAGAGCCACCGUGUGUUUCCUUCCAUUAGAACCGCCUCCUGCUGCACGCGCAGCCGUGGAUUUGUUACCGCUGAGAACGGAACGGCCGAGUUCCGUCGACUCGAUCAUCGGCGGAUAUGAUCCUCAUCCGUCUCUGCCGUCGUUUCUCUGCUCGACGGCACCGCGCCAAAAUCUCUUCUCCCUUUUUGGAACGUAAUUCAAUUCUACAAGUAUAGCGAGUCGUACAUCCGCUCCUCCGCUCUCUUCAUGGUUACCGGUGGCCGGCCGCAUCCGCUUCAAAACAUUGGUUCUUGGUACCGUGCUCUGAACGGAUCGGGCCCCGUCUACAUCCGGGAUGCGGUCACACCGUACACCCCGGCACGUUCGCUCCGCUCGGCAACAGCCAAUCGACUUGUGACUCCUGCACUUCGAGCUAAUCACUACAUCCAGACCUUAUAGCUGUCCUGGCUCCUGAUUGGUGGAACGAGCUCCCCGCUGACAUCAGGACGGCAGGAAGUCUCUACAGCUUCCGCCGGAAACUAAAAACACAUCUUUUCCGACUGUCUGGAUUAAAACACAGAUUAGCACUUCAGUGGCACUUAAAUGGCUCUUAUUGUGGUACUUUUGUAGUUUGACUAUGUUGAGGAAAUGUUACUUUCUGUAUUCUUGUUGUUCUUAGUUUGUACUCUAGGUUGAUGCACUUAUUGUAAGUCGCUUUGGAUAGAAGCGUCUGCUAAAUGACACGUGAUGUACGUAUUCUGCAUACGUCACACGUGCGGAGGCUCGUUCAUUCAGCGUUCCGCCUUCACUCGUCGGCGUUUUAUUUAAUUUAUUUUGUAAGGCGUCGCAAGAGACGGAGAAGGCCAGAGCACCUGCACUCCCUCCUGCGUCCUCCUCUUUUUCCCUUUCCCCCCCCAGAGCCACGACGGUCAUCGGUCAUUUGAUGCAGGAAGUUGUUCCACCAGGACGACCGGCAGCACCUCGCAGAGGAACACAGGCUGGGUGAUGGAAAGCAAAUCCAUUUUCAAUUCAGAACUUAAUUGAGACGAGUGUAUACCCCAAAACGUCCGUGUUUGGAGGUGUUGUGGAGAAGCUCGAGAAACGGACCCUCCUUUACUAUUUCCUGUGGUAACACUCGUGUCGAGUCUCUUCGCAGGUCUUCCAAGCAAAGAGAAGAUCGAGACGCAGCGCUCCGAGUUGAGAACGAAACACGGCUCCGCCGCCUCCCUCCAAAGUCUGGUGUCGUUUCCCCGACCCACGGACCAAAGAAGAGUUUGUCUCUUUGAACGUUGUCGCCUCGUCAGUACCGAUUCAUCCGUGAAGAUGUUGGCUGUCUCGGAUGCGACGUCACAACGGAGACGCCGUGUGUUCACAAACUAUUCCUCCGCUCCCGUUUUCCAAAAGCUUUGUUUCUGUGCUGAUUACUCAUCAUGUCCGUGUAGCACAACUUUAAGCUCUUACCCAUAAUUCCCGGACUUUCCGGAGGUGUGGGCACCGUGCUCUACGCAGGCGGCAUCGGGACCCAAAUUGCGAAUGAGCUCAUCGACUCCUACAGAUGAGGAAAAACUCAACCCCCCUCCCGAAAGAACCCUUUCAGGGGACAAAAGGGAAGACGCCUUCAGGAGAGCAACAGGAGGAUCCCUCUCCAGGACGGACAGAGGAGUAGAUGUCAUGUGACCAGCAUGACGUGUUACAGAGUUGCAUAACCACGUUCCACCAGUACCACGGCGCGUGUGAAGAGUUAGUCGGAGGCCUUGACCACAAUCCAGAAAGCGGAAAUAAAUUAUGUGAAAUGUGUAUUUUUUCCUCUUCCUCGUGAACCCGAUUGACCUUGUUUCCAGAUGCUAUUUGCACAAUUAUGUCUGCCAUUUUUAAUGUGUGGUUUCAGAAGUAUCUGCAGUCUAUUUUUCUUUCUUUGCUGUUAUAAAACAAACAUACCGUUUUGUA